rnacentral:lncRNA from 1 species
CUGUCACCAUCCACAUAAGAUGUGACUUGUCCCUCCUUGCCUUCUGCCAUGAUUGUGAGGACUCCCCAGCCAUGUGGAACUGUAACCACCGAUCAGAUCAAGAAACAGAACACCCAGAAGCUUUUUUCCUCAUCCUUCCAGUAACUUCUCCACCUCAACCAGGAGUAAACACCAUCUUGACUUCCUACAUUACAGAUUAGUUUUGCCUGAUUUUGAACCUGAA